GAUAGUUUCUUAACAAUUAUUUGAUCAUAUUGGAAUGACAGAAGAUUAGCAUAACCCCCAUGCAAAGAUGACAUGCAAAGUCAAGAAACAUUUAAAAAAAUU
ensembl:snRNA U6 U6 spliceosomal RNA